rnacentral:rRNA from 1 species
CUCAGUUCGGAUUGCAGGCUGCAACCCGCCUGCAUGAAGUCGGAAUUGCUAGUAAUCGUAGGUCAGCAUACUACGGUGAAUACGUUCCCGGGCCUUGUACACACCGCCCGUCAAACCAUGAGAGUUGGCAACACCCGAAGUCGGUAGCCUAACCGCAAGGAGGACGCCGCCGAAGGUGGGGUUGAUGAUUAGGGUUAAGUCGUAACAAGGUAGC